rnacentral:rRNA from 1 species
GAUGAACGCUGGCGGCGUGCCUAAUACAUGCAAGUCGAGCGAACGGACGAUAAGCUUGCUCUUCUGAUGUUAGCGGCGGACGGGUGAGUAACACGUGGAUAACCUACCUAUAAGACUGGGAUAACUUCGGGAAACCGGAGCUAAUACCGGAUAAUAUUUUGAACCGCAUGGUUCAAAAGUGAAAGACGGUCUUGCUGUCACUUAUAGAUGGAUCCGCGCUGCAUUAGCUAGUUGGUAAGGUAACGGCUUACCAAGGCAACGAUGCGUAGCCGACCUGAGAGGGUGAUCCGCCACACUGGAACUGAGACACGGUCCAGACUCCUACGGGAGGCAGCAGUAGGGAAUCUUCCGCAAUGGGCGAAAGCCUGACGGAGCAACACCGCGUGAGUGAUGAAGGUCUUCGGGUCGUAAAACUCUGUUAUUAGGAAAGAACACAUGUGUAAGUAACUGUGCACAUCUUGACGGUACCUAAACAGAAAGCCACGGCUAACUACGUG